GCGGUUGUGGCUCAGGGGUCAGCUCCUGCUAGUGCCAGGACACUACUGGGAGGCUGGGACCCGACCAAAGCCCAUGGUGUUUCUGGCCUGAGAACAAGGUGUCUUGGGACCAUAAGGCCAGGCCACCAAUGGCCAUUGGGUCAUAGGGGCUCAGCCCCAAUCUUUGUCUUUCCCUGGCUCCUUCUGAUUCAGUCCCAUCAGGGCCCUGGAUCCCAAGACUCAGCAUCCAAGGUCCCCUCCAGGAAUCCUGGCAGCUCAGCAUACUUUAUCCUGUUUCAUCUGAGAGCAAAAAUGUAAAAUUGGAUGCACAGAAAAGUGACUCAAAGUGCUUAAUGACUAGAAGAAAUCUAGGAGCAGCAAGAAGGUAAUGUGGAGGGAGGGACCUCCAUGACCGGUGUCUGCAGAGCCAGGGGUACAGGCACCCAGUGCUGUGGCCUGGCACCACCUGCCUCUCAGAGGGUGGGUGGCACACUCCUUAACCAGAGGACAGCAGGCCUGGUCACCAGCUUUUCUACCUGUCCCUGUAAGCAUCACAUUGCUGGAGGAAAAUCUCAUGCCAGAGCUUGGACCAUCCCUAGCUCGGGUUAGGGGUUGUCCCUUGGUGACCUAAAUGAAAAAACAGGUCCAGAACAGAGUUCCUGAUGCUGGACACUCAUUCAGUCUUUGAAUCGUGGGAGGGGAGGCCUGGUACUAGGUAGACCUAACCUCUUUGAGGAACCACAGAGCCCAAGGCUGGAAACCUCCAGAAUCCUCCACCCCCUGAUCCUCCCUGGGGACCCCUGUGGCCUGUCUCACUGAGCACUCUUCCAUCUGUAGAUGUCUGGGCUGCUGUACAAGGGAGUCCCCUUUCAGGUGUGGUGCUAGACAUGGUCACUCCUGCUGGAUGUCUAGGUGGUAGAAACCAAGGACCUAGGGAAAUACCAGCUACAGCCUUUCCCCGCUCAUCCAGAGCAGGACAAACAGGCCAGGCGGUGUCAGGAGCCCAGGUCUCCAGCUGGAGGGAACGUCAACCCUGCGGUGGGAGUAGGGGCCCUUUGCACAUCCUAGGCACAGAUGGUAAUGUAGACACCACAGGUAAGCUGGGCUUGGUACCUACCCCUCCCCGGAUUCAGAAAGAAACCAAACAAGGAGCUUUGUGCGGAAUGAAACCUCCUUUCCUCCCAGAAGCACUGCUGACUGUUUGGUGGUUGCCAUUUGUGGCAGUGAGCCUUUGUUUGUUCUGAGGUUGGGCUGGUUUCUCCUCUUGGUCCUGCCCUACAGAUCAUAAAGGAGAACAGCAAGAGGUCCCCAGCAAACAUCCACAGAUGGCCUUGGAACCUCACCCUGCAGGAAUGCCAGUGAACAUACUGCUGACAUCUUGGAGCUCAGUACCCUCAUAGUGUAACGGCGUCAGUAGAUCUGCCUGUGCUUGGACUUCCUGUACUACCCAUUCCUGAGGGGCGAUGCUUCUGCAGGGCCUGUGACUUGGUGCACAACUUCAGACACCAUCAUCUUGCAGCAGCACCGCACCCUCACUAGCCAGGGUGUUGAUGACUUCCUCAAGGCCAAGGCCACAUUCAAGGCUUCGGACUUUAUUGAUGCGCUUGUGCUGAGCAAGGUGGCUUCUCCAGGAUCUUAAUUCAGGAGGUAGAAUGGAGCUUGAGAUCAAGUGUCUGAUCAAGCCUCAGUGUAUGGGCGCUGUUCAUCCUCUGGUGCUGAAGCAGCCAAGAGACCCAAGUCUGCCUGGCUGCCUCUUAGGAUAUGACAGCAGAGCCAGUGGCCUCUACUAGAUCCUGUACAACCUCACAAAACACCCAGACAUCGGGAGUGCUGCCAGCCUGUGAUGCAAGAGUCCUAAUCCUGAAGACAUUGAAUGACCUGUCAUUCUGCUGUUUUUACCAAAAAGGAUCAUGAGGAUCAGAGAGGAAAAGUCACUUGCCCAAAGUCACACAGCUGAACAGUGGUGGAGUUCAACUUUGACCAUGGGCUGUCUGGCCCCAAGGUGUAUGCUUGCUUCUCUCCCAAGAGACUCCUUUCUUAUCAGGCUCAAAUGAAUGAAAGGAGGAUGUUAAAGUUCCUAGAAGCUUUAAUUGAAUGAAAGUUCCUAGUAGAUCUGUACCUACUAAAAACCACACUUCUGAAGCUACGUGGCCACCAGAAGACACAGCUAGUCUGCCAUGUAAAAAAGGAAAGGUGGCGUGUGCCCUGAAGGCGCAGGGGUGAGAGGCAGGGAAAUGGAGACCCCAACAGCCAGCAUCAGUGGCCCUCAUCACAGCCCUCCAGGAGAUAUCAAAGGAGACAACGCCAUUAUUGACGAGAUCACUCCCAAGCGGAUUGGAGAUUGUCCCAAUACUUAGACCUAUAGCAAGGCCUUGGGAGAAAUGGUGGUGCAGCAGGAGAGCAGGAACCUAACCAUUGCCAUCCUAAGGCCCUCCAUUGUGCGGAGCAACGUCGCACCAGCUUUUCCUGGGUUGGGUUGAUAAUCUAAAUGGAUGUAGCUGACUCAUUAUUGCGGCUGGGAAAGGGUUUCUUCUGUCCAUAAAAGCUACUCCAAUGGCUGUGGGAGACUUAAUUCCAAUUCCAGGUGAUACAGCCGUCAAUCUCCCACUAGCUGUAGGAUGGUGUGUGUGCUGCAGUUCACAGGGCAAAGGAGAUAGAAGUGGAUGAAAUGAGAGAAUUUUCUUUAAUUGAACUCUGGUUAAUGCCAAAAGUGUUCAAUCACUAUGUGUGGGGAAGUUUCCUGGUACAAAGGAAAAAAAAACAGACCUAAGUCAGUGUUAGUCUACCACUGUACAUCUGGUAACCUCAAUCCCUGCAACCGGGGCAAAAUGGGUUUCCAGGUCUUGGCAACCUUUGAAAUUCCAAUUCCAUUUGAGAGAGCUUUGACGAGGCCAUAUGCUGAUUUCACCACCAGCAACUUCAGAACCCAGUACUGGAAUGCCAUCAGCCAGCAGGCCCCUGCCAUCAUCUAUGACUUCUAUCUGUGGCUCACUGGAAGGAAACCCAGCUACCGAAGGAAGAUACCCUCAUCAACCCAAUUUUACAAAUGGAGAAAUAGAAGUUAAGGGAAGAAUCUGAAGUAGUCUCAAAGGCAGUGACAGGAAGGAUGUGGAGAAAGCUGAGUGUCAAAGUCAGUAUUCAGGACCGGCUUUACUGCUACUUAGAGAUGAAUGAAGAAAUCAGAGGGAACGCAGUGUGCUGAUGCUAAAGCAGCUGUCACCACCCAGCUGUGUGACAUAGGACAUAUUCUUUCUCUGUCUCACUUGACUAAUAUGAUAUGUCAGAGGAGACAUGAUUGUAAUUGCCUAAAGCAAUUCUUGUGAUCAAGACUCAGAAGCACGAACAGUAUUGCCCUCUGUGUUAGCCCCUUUAUAAGGGAGGAUAUCAUCUUCAGCAUGCUGAAUUGUCAUCUUUCUUAGCAGUGCAAAUGACUAAAACUUAGCCAAUGUAGAGUUUGUCCAAAUUUGGAGCUCAUAACUCAGUUCUUGAGCAAAGUGAAAAGAAAACAUUGUGAUUAUGGGGAAAAUAUUUGACGGGACUUAUCAAAUAAAGAUAGGAAAAGAAGAAAACCCAAAUAUUAUAGGCAGAAAUGCUAAAGGUUUUAAAAUAUGUCAGGAUUGGAAGAAGGCAUGGAUAAAGAACAAAGUUCAGUUAGGAAAGAGAAACACAGAAGGAAGAGACACAAUAAAAGUCAUUAUGU
ensembl:lncRNA novel transcript